AUGCGCAAGCACUUUGUCUCUUGCUUUGUUUUCAGUCGCCAUAUUUAAUCUACGUCGAAACUUCAAAAUAACAUUAGGGGGAAAAAUGUAGCGUCAUGUUUAUCAGACGAGGACCUGAGCUUAACAAGCGAUUGAGAGAAAAUCCUUGGGAAGCUGUUAAAAUUUGUGUGUCAAUGCGUUUGUUAUUCUUUUAACCAGUACUCACUGAAUACCUGUAUGUCAGGCUCUCGAGGAAUACAGUACAGACAUGGGAGGGGAGACGGGGUUUCACCGUGGUCUCGAUCUCCUGACGUCGUGAUCCGCCCGCCUCGGCCUCCCAAAGUGCUGGGAUUACAGGCGUGAGCCACCAAGCCCGGCCUCCAGUCACGAUUUUAGGUGUGUACAAUUGACACACCUAAAGACAAACUGGUACAGGAAGAUUUGCCUCACCCGCUCUUCUGGAAGUAUGGUUUUGGAUCACCUAUCCAGAUGGACCAGAGCUCUUGUUAAAAGUGCAGGCUUGUGAGUCAUACUUCAUUUGCUGAAUCCAAAUCUCAGUGAUGGGGGCCCAGAAAAUAUAUCUCUAACAGGCUCCCCGUUAAUACACACUGAAAUUUAAGAACCACUAGCUAGGUUCUCUGUGAUAAGUUCCUCCUUCGUAUAUACCUCAACCAGCCAAAAAGGUGGCAACGCAAAGGCAUUCCCAGUGCUUCUAUUCUUGGGGAAUAUGCAUAGGCUUUGUGCCUCCUCUGCAAUCCUUUAGGUGCGACAUUCUCCUAUAUAGUAGUAGGAUGAGAAGAUUAAACUAGGUAAUGUGUAAGAGUUUUGAACAAAUGAAAAGUACUGGGUAAAUAUAGAGCUGUUAUUAUAGCUAAUAUAAUAUUAGUAUAACA
rnacentral:lncRNA from 10 species